rnacentral:lncRNA from 1 species
UGAACGAGAGGAUGGUUGCUGGCUUGGUUAGGAAGUAAGAAUAAAAGGAAGGAAGUGAAAAAAUAUAAGAAAAGAAGGAGAGGAAGAAGAGGAAAGAAGUGAGGUAUUGUUUGUUUCAAUUGGUAGGGAAGAAAGGAAGGAGAAGAAUAAAAAGAAAUGAGGAGAAGAAGAAAAGGAAAGAAAGGAGGUGCUAGAAGGCUUGGUUGGUAGGGGAAAAAAGAAGGAGAAGAAUAGAAGGAAAGGAGGAAGAGCUGGUGCAGAUGGCAG